GCGAGUCACAGCUUCUUGGAGCUCUCUCAGCUCCAACUACCUCACAGGGUGUUUGUUGUGAGGAGAGAAAGGGGGAAUAUAAAUCCAAACUCUUCUUCUUCUUCUAAAGUUUCAUGUGAACUUGGAGAUCUGCUUGGUAGUUAUGAAUUUUGAAACUGCUGGGGGAAGCUGUGAAUACAGAACUUUCAGCACCUCACCCAUUUUGAGCCAGUGUGAGCCAAAUCCAUUUUACUGUGUCAGCGUCUGCCGUGGUCUGUGCUUGACGGCAUAAUCCAAGGGGGACGUCCAGCCAGUUUGGACCAUUCCAACCUUACAAAGCAGCCCUCGACCACUGAGUGCUGUUCCCAGAUCACCCUUUGAUUCAUAAACAUCUUCAUGUUCACCGCCAGUGUGGACUGAUUUCUUAAAGAAAGGGGAAGGUUUCAACCUCUAAAAUGCCCAGGGGAUGAGGGAAGCAGAGGUCAGUUUAAAAACGAGUAACUGGAUAGGAGAAAGGCCGAACACCCACUCCCCACAUGCAAACUCUGUAGUGAACUGGACAUCAUCAUAUCAUACCCAAACAGCUAUUGUCUAGGUUUGCCAACUCCAAGUUGAGAAAUUCCUGGAGAUUUGGAGGUGGAACUGAAGAGGGCGGAGUUCGGAGAGGCUUUUCAGCAAGGAUGUGAUGUCAGAGUCCUUUUUUUUUUCAGGGGAGCUGAUCUCUGUAGCCUGGAGGCAGGUUGUAAUUCCAGGGGAACUCCACCUCCCGCCUGACAGUUGGCAACGCUAGUAUUGCCACAGUAGCAAUUGGUGUGGAUUAAUAGUGGCAGGUUUGGACAACGUAGAGAUGGUGGGGAGAGGCCCAAGGACGAGAGCGCUUUCAAAAGAGUGACAACCAGGAUCUCUGAGAAAACGAGGGUUUAAAAAGAAUUAGAAGCAGGUUUGGGGCCUCUGCUUGAACAGACCGGCUUUGCCCAAGCUUGUCAGAGCUUAGAAGCCAAGCAGGGCUGGCUCCACAGUUAGUAUUUGGUAGAUUUACAAGGAAGACUGGGUUAUUAUGCAGAGGAAGGCAAUGGCAAACCAUCUCUGCCUGUCUCUUGUCUGAAAUGUUCCAUGCAUGGGGUCACCAUGAGUCAGUAGCAGCUUGACCGCAUAUUCUUCUGCAUAUCCAAAAGUUCUCUGAUUCUGAGAUUUUUCUUCCUUGUUGGAAAUACUGCCAGGUCUGCAAAGUUGUGCCUAAUUAUAUACAAUGAAGGUAUUAGGGGGGGGCUCUAAUGAUCAUAUGUCUUGUGUGUUUAUGAGAUUAAGAUGGCAAUUUGGUAAAAUCCAACUGGAACAGAUGUCUAGGUUUCAGGAGGGGUGCGGUGGGGAGAACACAGGUUCCACUUUCAUUAUAUCCUGUUCUGCUUGGAAGAAUAGUCCUUGGCUGCAAAAGGGAAACAUUUUUUAUCCUGACAACUGACGAGCAGCAGCAUUAAGGACAGUUUGCAAGGUCAUUUGCAAAUGUGUGAGAAAAAGGAAUGUGCAUCUCAACCAUGUCUCUAAACUUUCACAAAUUAGGGGUUUUUUUUAAAAAAAACCCCAACCCUACAGUUAAUUGUAUUAUCAGAGCACAAUGCUAUACAUAAAAAAAGGCAACAAACCUUACUGACCUUAAAUAAAGCUGGGUUUUAUUAUUAAUAUAUAAGCACUUUUUUAAAACAUUUGGUAUAACAUUUGCAAUAAACUAUCUUGGAAGAGGAAAAA